GAAACCAACCUGAAAUGUAGCGUUUAUCGCUGCGUUCUCUUAAUGAGAUAGGGUUGGUUUUCUGU
rnacentral:ncRNA from 1 species